UGUUUAGCGUGAAUGUUGGACUGGGGUUUGUACUGGACUGGUUUUUUAUGUGGAUAGGUUAGCUUGGCUAUGCUUAAUGUGCAGGUCUUUUAUUUGAAGGGUUUAAUUGUGUACAGGGCUGUUUUGUAUUGUUUUUUGGAUUGGAUUUUGAAUGAUGCAGGGAUUUCUAAGACAGGUUCAUAAGUAGCAUGAGUGUCUUCUUUUGAAUCUUGGUUAAAGGGGCUGCCAUGUAUGUUCACAGUAUGCAGGUCUUGGAAUUUAUGGCUGCCAGUUGGAAGUACAAAGAGGAAAUUGAAGGUGACUUGGAGUCUGGGUGUUGUCGUCACGUGGCAUUGGUUUUAGAAAGCAGGAUGAAGAUUGGAAUAUGGCUAAGGAUUAUGAAAAUGAGAUAUUAGCUUAGACUUAGACAAUAGAAAGUCUCCUUGUAAUUUUCUCUCUUUUGUAAGGAUGAUGAUGUAAAGAUCUUCAGGGUUUUGCCGAACCGGCUCAUGAAAGUUUUCACAUGAUUUGUUUUGUGAAUGGGAGUGUAUUUUUGUAUGACUUUUAGCAUAUGAUAUAACUUGUAGCCCGAGUCAACAAGACGAGCUCCCUUUUAUUUUCCAA